rnacentral:rRNA from 1 species
AACGCGAAGAACCUUACCUGGGCUCGAAGCGCAGUGGAUAUGGGUGGAAACAUCCCUUUCUCGCAAGAGACUGCUGCGGAGGUGCUGCAUGGCUGUCGUCAGCUCGUGUCGUGAGAUGUUGGGUUAAGUCCCGCAACGAGCGCAACCCUUAUCGUUAGUUGCCAGCGAGUCAAGUCGGGCACUCUAGCGAAACCGCCUCGGAUAACGGGGAGGAAGGUGGGGAUGACGUCAAGUCCUCAUGGCCUUUAUGUCCAGGGCUACACACGUGCUACAAUGGGCGGUACAAAGCGCUGCUAAGCCGCAAGGCGGAGCCAAUCGCAAAAAGCCGCUCUCAGUUCGGAUUGCAGGCUGCAACUCGCCUGCAUGAAGCUGGAAUCGCUAGUAAUGCUAUAUCAGAACGAUAGCGUGAAUACGUUCCCGGGCCUUGUACACACCGAGUAUA